GGAAUAUUGGACAAUGGGCGAAAGCCUGAUUCAGCCAUGCCGCGUGAGUGAUGAAGGCCCUAGGGUUGUAAAGCUCUUUCGCAGGUGAAGAUAAUGACGGUCACCUGAGAAGAAGCCCCGGCUAACUUCGUGCCCGCAGCCGCGGUAAUACGAAGGGGGCUAGCGUUGUUCGGAAUUACUGGGCGUAAAGCGCACGUAGGCGGAUUGUUAAGUUAGGGGUGAAAUCCCAGGGCUCAACCCUGGAACUGCCUCUAAUACUGGCAAUCUCGAGUCCGAGAGAGGUGAGUGGAAUUCCGAGUGUAGAGGUGAAAUUCGUAGAUAUUCGGAGGAACACCAGUGGCGAAGGCGGCUCACUGGCUCGGUACUGACGCUGAGGUGCGAAAGCGUGGGGAGCAAA
rnacentral:rRNA from 1 species